rnacentral:rRNA from 1 species
CAGUCGCCGCGGUAAUACGUAGGGUGCAAGCGUUAAUCGGAAUUACUGGGCGUAAAGCGUGCGCAGGCGGUUAUAUAAGACAGAUGUGAAAUCCCCGGGCUCAACCUGGGAACUGCAUUUGUGACUGUAUAGCUAGAGUACGGCAGAGGGGGAUGGAAUUCCGCGUGUAGCAGUGAAAUGCGUAGAUAUGCGGAGGAACACCGAUGGCGAAGGCAAUCCCCUGGGCCUGUACUGACGCUCAUGCACGAAAGCGUGGGUAGCAAACAGGAUUAGAUACCCGCGUAGUCCCUGUCUCUUAUAC